UACCCCCACCACCAACCCCAAUCCACCCCCCCCCAAUCCACCACCCCCCCCCCAUUCCCCCAACAGCAGGGACUUACCCACAUGACGGGGCAUGUUUCAGAGAAGCAAGGAGCGGAGAGGCCUAUGGGGCCCGAGAGACACAGGCCUACACCCAUCCAAGGCCCUAGUGGAAAUGUGAAGUUGGGGGCCAUGUGCUUGUUCUUAGGCCCCACGUGAACGCUCAGGGACCAAUAGGAAAACAUUUAAGCCCAUAAGGUGUUCGUGUGAUAAGGGGCCACCCCACUAGGGUGGAAUUUAGGAAUAAAUACGCUGUGUGAGUUCAUGAAUUUAGGGCAGCCCCCUGACUGGUUUCAGAGAAGCAGAAAUAUGGAAGAAGGGCCUUCAACCUCAGAGAUACCUGAUUCAACAGUUGACGAAUUCCAAAGCAGGAAACGCUACAACAGCAGUUCCUCUGAUGAGGAUGAAGAGUCGGCUGAAGCUAAAAGAUUUUGUCAGGAUGAGGGGGUCGUUACUGGGACAUUAAAUAGACUUUUGGAAACGCUUGCAUCAGAACCACCAGCAGCAGCUGCUGAGCAGGUAAGAAUUCAUAAAAAGUAUUAUUCUGAUCACACUUGGGGUCUUAUGAUCACUCAUUUCAAGGAUUGAAGUUGUGACCUGGAAAAAAAAAACUUACACAGUGAUCUUUAAAUCAUUUUAGGGGGUUACAGAAAAUUCUGCACAGCUGCCUAAAGGAGCAAAGACAAGCUCUAUCUCAGCUAUAUGGAAACUCUGUUGCAUUGCAUCUAGCCGGUUAGAAGUAAGUGAGAAGCUACAGUAUAUGGAAUAUUAAACCAUUGCUUAAAUGAGAUGCUGUAUGAAUUGUGUGAAGGUUGUCGAGUAUCUGCUGGAAAUCAGAUGGCUCAUGAAUGUGUGUCAUGGGACAACAAAUUCCUAAAUAAGAAAUUACGAUAUAUUUGUACACAUUUAUGUCUCAAAAACACCCUCCAUAUUUUUAUACUUUUGGCUUAUACUCGAAAUCAAAUGUAUAUGGAUAAACAUAUAGUGGAUUACAUAUUGAAUUUGGUAACAACAAUUGGGCGAGGUAUCAAGGCUUUAAAAUAUCUACAUACAGGAAUGAAACGUUGCAACCAGGAAAUUCUUGAGCAAGUCAAAACAAUCCUAAAAGACCGGCCAUACAAAAAUUAUGUUAAAUUCUGGCCUAUUUGUGCCGUUUGCAAAAAACAAUAAAUGCUGUACCUAUUGAUGACUGAUUUUAAA